AUUGCGCAAAGCAAUGCUGAACGCACAGAAGUCAGCAGAGGUCAUAGUAGCCGAGAGGCGAAGGA
rnacentral:ncRNA from 1 species